AAAAGAAAAAAGAAAAGAAAAGAAAAGAAAGAAAAAAGAAAAGAAAAAAGAAAAGAAAAAAGAAAAGAAAAAAGAAAAGAAAAAAAGAAAAAAACAGUUGCAGAUUCCUGAUCUUGUCUUGUCCCAGCUGAAUCACUGACUAGAGCAGGCAACUUUCUUGUUCACCUUGGCCUUACUGACUGAUUCUCCAGAAGAGAGAUGGACAUCAUCAGUCUGAACAUUAGCAGCCUCACAACAGCAGUUGACUCUAUACUUUCUGUAUAGCAGCUGGAGGAUAUUUUUGCCUUAUCUCAAGCCUCCUCAUGCCAAUUUCAGCUGUUGAAGAGGUACUCCAGCUUUAGGCUGUAUCAUGCUCCUUCAAGACAUGUUUCUUAAACCAAUAUCUGAUGUAGACAGGGAAAUGGGAGGUGUACAAGGGAUCAUGGCUGUGGAUUAA
rnacentral:lncRNA from 1 species